CAUAUACUGCAGCGCAGAGUAUAGAAAAAUAUUAGUGUGUUUAACUGAAUUAAUCUGGGAGUAUGUGUACAAGUCCUGGCGGAUAUUCUCUCUUCAAUAUGGGAGGGAAUCUCCUUGGGAGACUGAAAUGUUGAAAAACAGGUUUACUGAUAAAAAUCUCCCUCCCCCUUGUUCAAACCUGACUGCAGUGCAACUUGUGGAUCUCAGCUCUUGAAGAUAGUGCUUCUCACCUCUUUGUAUGAGGAUAGUGUUUGACCCAUAUUGUGGGUAUACCCUGGAUUUUUGUUGUACAUUUGAUCCUACAAAAACAAGUGUGUAUGUGUAUCAUACACGUUCCUUAGACGCUGUGCCUCACUCCCCGUGACAAGGCUGAGACACUUCCCUGUGUUCAUAUCCGAAACCAGAAUGUCUGAAGAAAACUGGAAUAAGACAACGUUGAACAAUUUAAUCUCUAAAGAAGGGAACUCAAAGUGUGCAGAUUGUGGAGCUCCAG